CGUGUCCUAUGGAGUCUACUGUCUAGGAAGUUCAGAGAUGGAACGUUCACGGUCUGUUAACUACAGAGAUGAUAAUCCUAAAAAAGUAAGUCCAUACUAGCAUGAUGAAAAGGUCCAAUUUUUUUAGCAUGAUGAAAAGAUCCAAGGACAGACCUCCCGUCGCACCAGAGAAAAUGGGCCGAAAAAGGUGCCGCUCGUCGGCGUGGCGGACCCGGCGACAGCUGACGGGUGUGGAGGGAGGUGGGGUAGAUCCAGUGCGUGCUCAACUGCUGAUGAACCGGCUGUAGCGCUCAAUCCCUGCCAAGGGCCAGCGUGGUCUCUGGAAGAGGUUUGGUCCGGGCAUGCAUGGUUGGUGAUUCCCAGGGUUGCCGGUCUUCAUCUCUGUUGUCCAAUGAUUCUUUUAUUACAGUUGAAGGCGCCUGUGAUUGGUGUGCAAGCCAGACCUGAGGGACGACCAACAAAACAUCCUUGAGAAGACGAUGGCACCCAUCAUGCAAUCGUUCCAUGGGAUUGUGACCUGCAUUGAGAUUUCAGUGCUUUGCACUUCGCCAGACUGAGAUCAAAAAGACCCCCAUUGUAUCAAUUUACAUUCGUAACACUUUAUUAUGUCAAUUUGUUGAUUGUUCACAAUGACACUGGAUAUUCUAACAGUUGCUCAGCCUCACGUAAUAUUCCAACAGUGCAUAUUUUUUGUAAUUUUGAUUGUUCGUUAGAGUUCUAGAUACUAUGCUCUAGUAGAGUAGGUUUACUAUAACAGAUUGUUUAGGAAUCACAGGUGCAGAAGGUAUUCUACCAUCCGCAGUGUGAGGGUUUUGAAGCAGAUAUUCAUUCUAUGUGACCACGACAGGGAUGGUAUGUAUUCUGUUUGUACUUGAGACUCUUAGAUUUCCAGUGGAGUUUUGGUUUCUCCUGCUGAGAUCGUACACUUGAUGUUUAUACUAUGCAUUCAAGCUAUUCCCACACCUAAGAAAUAGGGCAACAAGAUUCAGGUAUAUGAUUUGAGGUUCGUAGUGGAGAAGAGCUGUGAGAAACUGCAGUUGCUUUCUUUUAUUGCAACGCAUGGACAAUUAUUUUUUCUUUUUGGCGAUCACAGGGAACAAAUACUACGGGGAUCAAGUCGGGGAUUCAUGGCAAGGGAUUGACAUUUUUUUAUCAAAGCAGUUUGCUACACACUGCCGUGUGACAGAAAAGGUGUGCUACUGUUUCCACAUCUCCUUUUGCGAAUCACUAAUGUUUUUCCCAAGUCUUUUCUUCCUUUUUGUAUUGACCCAGAAAUAGUUUCGGCAUUGGGAGUCAGUUUCUUCGAUGUUUUCAUUGUUCUUAUCGGGAAGUGUGAAGUGAAAUUGUGGAAAUUUUCCCAAGUCCCAGGUUUGCAUAGGCCCUUAUUACUGGUGUGCUGGUAUGGGCACAUGAGGGGUGUGCUAUUGAUAUUUUUAUGUGAGAUAUUUGUUUCUCAUUUUAGCGGUCAUUCAAGUGUGAGUUAUGUGUAUCUGCAACAUGUAAUUGAGUGCCGGAACUUUCAUUAUACCUUAUCAAGGCCAUUUACAGGUUUACAUGAGCAUUUGGUUAGUAGCCUCAUGACCUCAUCUAUGAAUUAUCCGUUGAUCUAACUAUCUCUUAAUCUUUUUUCUCAGAUUUUAGUUACCCAUUGCUUACACAAUGAUAGUAAGACCAAUUGCAGGGAUGUGUUGAUCUUGGUCUUGUUCUGUAUGGAGGUAGGGUACAGUUGAUGUUUCAUGUUUGGUGAAAGAAAAGGAGCUUCCUAUGUUGAUUUCGGGCAAGAUAUACAUUCUGCCAUGCAUUAGUAGAUCAAUUGCUUCUCUGUGUAGGGGAACGAUUAGUGAUUGAAUCUCUCGGUCACGUUUCUUGAUCAUCCAAUUAAUUUACCCCCAUCUAUGCAUAAAUUGGUCUGAUUGAGUUAUGCCAUUUUUUAUGUAAUAAUCUAUAUUGGUCCUAUAUAUGACUAGAACAAUAUGAUACGAUGCACAUCGGUCCGCUUUACUGGCAUCUAUCUUUCAAGGUGAAGGAGGGGAGGCACUCGUGUGGAGCUGCUCAAUGUUCAAGGAGAUACGGCUGAUUAAACCAGGUUAUUUUAAAGUUCUUUAUGGUUCAUGUUAGCUAUCUAUCAGUAAUAGUACAACCUUGAUUUUUAUGUGGUUCAUGUUUACCUAACCAUCAGUAACAUUACUUUCUAUUGGAGACUUUUUACAGGAGGUGCUUAUAAAAUGAUAGUUGAACAAGUACAGAUUUUGGAUCGCGAUCAUCUAUUUACCAGGCAUCGAUCAAAAUCUAGCAUUCUUUGUUGUGUAUGCCGCAUGGAAAAGAUAGAUAUUGUCUGAUAUAUCCGAUAGCGCAAUAUAAUUUUCUCUUGCAUAUUUAUAAUCUGCCAUUUGAAUCAUGUUUUAUGUGUUGUAGUCCAAUAAAGACAAUUUGCAACUUUGGUGUUGUGACGUUGGAGGCCGUGCUCAGCGGCAAUGGGGGACUGUUGUAGAUGCCUGACCUGAGAUGUCGGCGAAGGAACGAGAGUCAACGAGGAGUGCACGCCAUGGGUUCGUGAACUGGCCAAGCCACCGUUGUUCGUUUGGUAAUGUCCGACGCAUCAGAGGCAUAGUAUGACUUGCGCCGAUUUUGACGUCAUCUACCAACAUCCGACGAAGGGGAACCAGUCCCGGUUUCCAUCUUGAUGGUAAGUUCUCUAAUCUUCUAUCUCAUGGGAUGUGAUGUGGUUGCUUUCAUUAUGGCUUUUGAGAAAGAGUUGAAAUUAGCUUAUGUGCUUCACACAAUUGAAAUUCCAGUGAUAUUAUCAACCUUCAGUGAGCAGUGACAAUGAACUCCAUCUCCCCACACCACCACACCCAAAUAGCGUAGGAUAGACUGAUGUUUCAUGUGAUGUCCUUUAAGCUAUGUUUCAGCUUGUCUCGACCCAGCAUGUAUUUUUAGUUUCAGUUGUUGAGCUCUGCACUACAAAACCGAGAAAGACCCAAGGCUUUUUACAGUGGGAUCAUUUCUACAGACUACAAAUAGAGGGAAGUUGUCUUGUGCCUUACUAGAGACAGAUGAACCAAUAAAAUGAUUGGAAAGGCUCUUUCCAAUAAAAUGAUCUUGUACAGUUUAUUUCUUAAUAUAUUUUGGUCAGUAUGUUGUUUAUUUUCUGAAAAUGAUACUCCAUUGUAGAUUACCUAUGAUGAAAAUUACAUUCUCUGCGGGUGCUGAUUUAGAUAUAUUACUAUGGGCAAAGGAAGUUCAAAAUUUAUCUCAGUCAAACAUGUGCAAAGGAAAUUCAAAAUAUGUUAUAUUAGGGAAGAUUCUUAAAUCAGUCAAGUAUCUAGAGGGUUGAUUAGGACACUCCUCAUAAUGUUUGGUACUUUACCAUUUGGGAUUAGGCCAUUGGUGAACAUGACAAUGCGGCUGUUGGUCACGGAUGCCGGGGGCAUGGGCAGGGUUGAGGAGCUCACACAGUGCUAUAUGUGACAACCUGCGACUGGUGGCUGGAGGUGGUGUGCCUGCUGCUUGGUUGGAAGUCCGACAUAAACUCCCACGACCGACUGGUAAGCAUGGAGAUGGAGCCCGCCGCCUCAUCGAUGUGGGAGCUGCAUUGCACGUACAGGGCACGACGGCUCAUGGAUGCUGGAGCUGUAGUGCACUGUUUAGGAGUUCAAAAGCAUGAAGGAGGAGAUUACCUACAAGUGUUUAAGAUUUUGUAUCUUGGAGGCAGUGCCUCAGGUC